AUUGUUUCCAGACCAGCCGAGCCAACUGGGGAGGAGAGGCCAGGCCCAGGGAGAGCAGUGAGAGGCCCGGCUUGCAACACAGGCCCCCGGCGGCUGGAGUCGGCUCAUGGGUUGCUGGGGGGCAGCUGGUGCCAGCCCUGCUAGACAUGUCCAGGGUCGGGGCAGAGGCCAGGGUGGCUCACAUCCACAACGAGGCUCCAGGAAGAGGCUCCAGAGGGCCCAGGUCCCUGGAGGAAGACAGAGUGUGGAUUAUCCAGUGAGUCCUCAGAGUGCUCCAGGGAGACUCUACCCCUAGGCCCUCAUCCUACCUAGGACUGAGGCAGCCAUCUUGGUCUCUGCUUCCCUAACCACUUCCUCCUCCACCCGACCAUCACCUAGUCUCAAGGACUUGGGCAGCUUCUGGAAGUGGCUGAGACUGGAGGAAUGUUGUCACGCCUACCAGAUAUCCCUACGUGUAUCUCUACCACCCCUACUACAUAUUCUGAAGAACCAAGGUGCAACAGGAACCUGGGGCCUCAAGAGCCGAGGUGCUCAGGAGGGGCAGCAUGACUCCAGGGCUCAGAAGGAGCCUGAGGCCUCAAGAGCUGAGGGGCAGCAUGACUCCAGGGCUCGGAAGGAGCCCCUCAGGUAAGGUCCCCUCAAAGCCUGAGAGUUCCCUUUGUCCACAACUCAUCUAUUUUG
rnacentral:lncRNA from 1 species